rnacentral:tRNA from 1 species
GAGGGUAUAGCUCAGUGGUAGAGUACGUACUUAGCAUGUGUGAGGUCCUGGGUUCAAUCCCCAGUAUCGCCA